ACCAGUGUGGUGUAGUGGUUUGAGUGCUGGACUAAGAUUCAAGGAGACCAAGGUUCAAAUCCAAGCCAUGGAA